GACGAACGCUGGCGGCGUGCUUAACACAUGCAAGUCGAACGAAGUGGCGAACGGGUGAGUAACGCGUAAUCAACCUGCCCUUCAGAGGGGGACAACAGUUGGAAACGACUGCUAAUACCGCAUACUGAAGGAGGGGAUUGCGUCUGAUUAGCUAGUCGGUGGGGGAACGGCCUACCUAGGCUAUGACGCGUAACUGGUCUGAGAGUAUGAUCAGUCACAUGGGAACUGAGACACGGUCCAAACUCCUACGGGAGGCAGCAGUAGGGAAUAUUGCGCAAUGGGGGAAACCCUGACGCAGCAACGCCGCGUGGAGGAUGACACUUGUCGGAGCGUAAACUCCUUUUGUUAGGGAAGCGGUACCUAACGAAUAAGCACCGGCUAACUCCGUGCCAGCAGCCGCGGUAAUUC
rnacentral:rRNA from 1 species